GACGAACGCUGGCGGCGUGCUUAACACAUGCAAGUCGAACGGGAUUUAGUAAACAGAAGCCUCGGUGGAAGAUUACUAAUGAGAGUGGCGAACGGGUGAGUAACGCGUGAGCAACCUGCCUAUGACAGUGGGAUAGCCUCGGGAAACCGGGAUUAAUACCGCAUAAAAUCGUAGAAACACAUGUUUCAACGGUCAAAGAUUUAUCGGUCAUAGAUGGGCUCGCGUCUGAUUAGCUAGUUGGUGAGAUAACAGCCCACCAAGGCGACGAUCAGUAGCCGGUCUGAGAGGAUGAACGGCCACAUUGGAACUGAGACACGGUCCAAACUCCUACGGGAGGCAGCAGUGGGGAAUAUUGCACAAUGGGGGAAACCCUGAUGCAGCGACGCCGCGUGAACGAAGAAGGUAUUCGUACCGUAAAGUUCUGUCCUAUGGGAAGAUAAUGACAGUACCAUAGAAGAAAGCUCCGGCUAAAUACGUGCCAGCAGCCGCGGUAAUACGUAUGGAGCGAGCGUUGUCCGGAAUUAUUGGGCGUAAAGGGUACGCAGGCGGUUUAAUAAGUCGAAUGUUAAAGAUCGGGGCUCAACCCCGUAAAGCAUUGGAAACUGAUAAACUUGAGUAGUGGAGAGGAAAGUGGAAUUCCUAGUGUAGUGGUGAAAUACGUAGAUAUUAGGAGGAAUACCAGUAGCGAAGGCGACUUUCUGGACACAAACUGACGCUGAGGUACGAAAGCGUGGGGAGCAAACAGG
rnacentral:rRNA from 1 species